AUGAUAAAUACGUGUAAUGUUAUCAACAAAAGAUAGAUACAAUAAUAUUACAAAAUGUACCGAUUAUAACAUAAUUGUCAACGUUAAUAACAUCACUACGGGCGACGGACGGGGAAAAAAAAAACCCCCGCAUCUUUCGCAUUAUCGUACGCGACCGCGAAUCCGCAACGCCAAUACUGUAUUGAAGAUGUUUGGAUAACAUUUUAACAGUCAUUCGGUUCCGUAUUGUAAAACGACCGCGGUGCGUACAUACGUAAUUAAUUGUCUGCGCGCGACAUUCGAAUUGUCCACCGGCGGAAAACGAUCGUGUGGGCACUGCGGUACGUCGAAAUG